ACUUCUGAAAAUUGAAGAAAGUGGGCAGCUGCUUGUGAAGUCCUCUGAUUCAGAAAGGAGCUCAAGUACUGUCGUUACCAAGUCCCACUCGUGACAGCUCUCUCUGUUUGUAGGCUCACAGUUUACACACCUGCUCCACCAGCUUUUAUUUUUAGAAACCUUCGAUGUGCUCGGCCUGAAGUGUUGCCCCUCAGUUUCAGCUCAGACCACACUGUGCUGUGUCUUCCUGUCAGAGAUGUGACCGACGAUGACCACCACGAGGAAGACAGUCACGCCACCCAGGAUCAUACUCGCCAGUGGAGCUACCCCAUCACACCCCUCUACAAAGAGAUCAUCAUUUUCCUUACAGAGACUUCUUUAUAGAGCUUUACAAAUAUUUAGACAUCAGACGAUUGUGCAAUGAGAGAAAUCUUUAGAGGAAUCUUACUUGUAUGCUCGCUGUCUGUGUCAUCAUGUGCAUCACUGCUGCCUAUUAAAGACAUUGUUACAUA